CCUCUCAUGGCGUAGUGGUAACGCGCCCCAACUAGAGAUCGGGGAGUCGUGAGUUCGAUUCUCACUGAGAAGG
rnacentral:tRNA from 1 species